rnacentral:rRNA from 1 species
CCUACGGGAGGCUGCAGUAGGGAAUCUUUCACAAUGGGCGAAAGCCUGAUGGAGCAACGCCGCGUGCAGGAUGAAGGCCUUCGGGUUGUAAACUGCUUUUAUAAGCGAGAAAUAUGAUGGUAACUUAUGAAUAAGGAUCGGCUAACUACGUGCCAGCAGCCGCGGUCAUACGUAGGAUCCGAGCAUUAUCCGGAUUGACUGGGUGUAAAGAGUUGCGUAGGUGGCCUAGUAAGUAGCUAGUGAAAUCUGGUGGGUCAACCAUUCAGACUAUUAGCUAAACUGCUAAGCUCGAGACCGUUAGGGGUAACUGGAAUUGCUAGUGUAGGAGUGAAAUCCGUAGAUAUUAGAAGGAACACCGAUAGCGAAGGCAGGUUACUGGGACGGUUCUGACACUAAGGCACGAAAGCGUAGGGAGCAAACGGGAUUAGAUACCCUUGUAGUC